GUCUGCAUUCUGAAGGACUUGGUGAUACAGAAAAAUACACAUAGGUCACAUGUUUUUUUUUAACUAAAAUUAUUCUGUAGAUAUAAAAAAUACAGGCAGGUAGACCACAUACAUAUGUAAACAUUAAGAAGUUAAGUACAGAUAAUGUAUUUUUUUGUUAAAAAUGUCAAAAGUAGUCUAUUACAGUUUAAGCUUUAAUUAUCAAGAUGAGACUCAUCUGUUCAAGAGUGCAAAAUACUGAGCUGUUAGAUCAUUACUAGACAGUUGAAGGGAGCUGUUUUUAAGGCAAUUUAUAUAAAUACCUAACUGCUUAUUUAAGAAACUGUUCACAUAUCUGGCUGGAGACACUGCAGUAGUGCAAUGCAGGAGCCUAGAAGCCAAGUCUAGCAGAUCAUGACUCCAAGUCCACUUGAAAGAAUGAUACAAGUCAAUUCAAAAAACAAAACAAA